AUGUACCAAAUCAGAAUUGGAGGUGAUGUGUGCACGGAGGAGUCCGACCGGAGAAGAGGUUCGUCAUGUGGGUUUGCAGCCGCGCUGUUUGGAGGGUUGGACGGCGACGUUGUUGUGGUGGAAAGGAGGCAAAAUCCGUGUGGGGAUCUGGUGGAUGUUACGACGAUGAUGAAGGAGGGUUCAUUGGAGAGCAAUGUCGUUGGUGUUUGUGGUAGAUUUGUGGAUCAUUAUGACGAUGACGGUUUCGUCCGUGGAAGAUGGAUUUGGUGA